rnacentral:rRNA from 1 species
GACGAACGCUGGCGGCGUGCUUAACACAUGCAAGUCGAACGGAAAGGCCCUGCUUUUGUGGGGUGCUCGAGUGGCGAACGGGUGAGUAACACGUGAGUAACCUGCCCUUGACUUUGGGAUAACUUCAGGAAACUGGGGCUAAUACCGGAUAGGAGCUCCUGCUGCAUGGUGGGGGUUGGAAAGUUUCGGCGGUUGGGGAUGGACUCGCGGCUUAUCAGCUUGUUGGUGGGGUAGUGGCUUACCAAGGCUUUGAAGGGUAGCCGGCCUGAGAGGGUGACCGGCCACAUUGGGACUGAGAUACGGCCCAGACUCCUACGGGAGGCAGCAGUGGGGAAUAUUGCACGAUGGGCGGAAGCCUGAUGCAGCAACGCCGCGUGCGGGAUGACGGCCUUCGGGUUGUAAACCGCUUUCGCCUGUGACGAAGCGUGAGUGACGGUAAUGGGUAAAGAAGCACCGGCUAACUACGUG